rnacentral:lncRNA from 12 species
CUCAGCUAUUAAAAUCUCCAUCUUUCUAGAUGGCAUUGUGAAGCGUUCAGGAAAAGGCAAACAGACAUUGAAAACGCCUUUGUUUUGUGAAAUUGCAGUUUAAGAAGAUGGAGAUUUUCUUUGUUUAGCUGACAGCCUGAGAGGAAGAAGCAACAUAAAGCUGCUUGACUUGUAGCCUGAGCACAUCUGUCUGGCUUCUUCUCAUGGUGUGCUAGACUUAUUGGUAUAUUCAGGUUUUGAGAUAAGAGAAGGCCUGGAUGACUACAUGUGCUUUAACACCCUUGUUAUGUCUCCCAAGAUAUUAGAUAAUUAAAGUAUCUUGCCAAGCUCUUCAGGUUGGAACUGAAACAGAGUUUUCUCUUAGCUCCUCUGAGCCAAUUUCUAGCAUCCUAUCAGAGAAAAACAACAGCAUCACAUGUGGGGUCAGGAAGAAGUUGCUAGCACUGAAAAGGAGUGCAGACCUUCACUGGACCCCCAGAAGCUGGACUAGGAUUUGGCUUGAGCCAGGACCAGGAAACCCCACUGAGUUGGACAUCUGGAAAUCAAUUUCACCCUUCAUGGCUAUGCAAACCACCUACAGUGCCCUUUGACAGCAGAUGAGUUUUAAGAGGAUCCCAAAGAGGAUUUGCACUGGCAAGGCAAAAUGACUUGUUUCAACCUUUUAGAGAUAACCUGUGGAGUAUUUGAGAAAAAUGGCUUAAGAAAUUUAGUCAGGUGAGUCAAUGGAAGGAAAGAAAACAUUUGGAAUUCUGAAUUAGGAACUCUGGUAAGGAACUGUGAAUUACAUAGUUCGAAAGAAAAAAAUCUUGAUGAAUUCAGUCAAAAAUAUUUUAUGCAUAUGCUUGAGUGUGAUGAUUUAUUUCAUAAAUUAGUAAGUUACUGGAUUUAACCAGAUAUUUUUCUUCCUAGUAUGGUUUAUGCUCUGUAACAAAUCACCUAAAACAUGAUAGCAGAGAAAACCUGAAGGCAUAAAAUCGUGUCUUAUUUCUCAUUAGGCUGCAGGUUGACUAGGGGCUGGCUCAUCUGGGCUGGUUGGGCCAAGGAUGGCUCUGCUUCACAAAUUUUUCAUUCUCCUCUUAUAAUUAGUGGAUCAAUUUGGGCAUGCCCUUCUCAGGACAAUGGCAGAGAGCAUGAACCCAAUGGUGCAAGUGCUUUUCAAGCCUCUGCUUGUAUUAUGUCUGCCAACUUUCCACUGGCCAAAGCAAAUUACACACAAAGCCUAGAGUCAAGGCAGGAGAAGUAAAUGUACUGCAACAUUACAGGGAUUAGAUAUAAGGAGGGGUAAAAAAUUGGGGCCUUUAAUGCAAUCUAUCAAACUCUAUCACCCAACCUUUGUUGAUUAAAUCUCUAGGGUUGGUAGCUGACAAAAAGAUCGGUAUUAAAAAAUCUUUUAAGGUGAUGAGAGACCCAUUCACAUCUGAUUGGGCCAAUCAGAUGCUGGUAAUAGUAAACACCUAUUUCAUGCUUACUAGACUCCAGGCAUAGUUCUAACUACCUUACACAUAUUACUCAUUUCUCACCACAGCCUUAUGAGAUAAAUACAAUUAUUAGCCCCAUUUUAAUCAUGAGGAAACUGAAGCCCAGUAAGGC